rnacentral:rRNA from 1 species
CGCCUGUUUUAUCAAAAACAUUGUUUUUUGAAAUUUUUAAAAAAUAUGGCCUGCACACUGAAUUUUAUUUAAAGAGCCGCGGUAUUUUGACCGUGCAAAGGUAGCAUAAUCAUUAGUUUUUUAAUUGAAGACUGGGAUGAAAGGUUUAAUAAAAAAUAAGCUUUAUUAUAAUAAUAAUAAUUGAAUUUGUUUUUUUAGUAAAAAAACUAAAAUAAGUAUAAAAGACGAUAAGACCCUAUAAAGCUUUAUAAUUUUGAAUUAAAAAUUAAUUUAGAAUAUUAAAAUUUUUAUUUUUAAAUUUAUUUAAUUGGGGUGAUUUUAAGAUUUAAUAAACUCUUAUAUUUUUUAUUCAUAAAUUUAUGAUAAUUAUGAUCCUAUAUUAUAGAUUAAAAAAUUAAGUUACUUUAGGGAUAACAGCGUAAUUUUUUUGGAGAGUUCAAAUCGAUAAAAAAGUUUGCGACCUCGAUGUUGGAUUAAGAAAAAAUUUUAGGUGUAGCAGUUUAAAGUUUUAGUCUGUUCGACUAUUUAUUCUUACAUGAUCUGAGUUCCAACCC